rnacentral:rRNA from 1 species
AUUGAACGCUGGCGGCAGGCCUAACACAUGCAAGUCGAGCGGAUGAAGGGAGCUUGCUCCUGGAUUCAGCGGCGGACGGGUGAGUAAUGCCUAGGUAUAUGACUGGUAGUGGGGGAUAACGUCCGGUAACGGGCGCUAAUACCGCAUACGUCCUGAGGGAGAAAGUGGGGGAUCUUCGGACAUAGCGCUAUCUGAUGAGCCUAGGUCGGAUUAGCUAGUUGGUGGGGUAAAGGCCUACCAAGGCGACGAUCCGUAACUGAACUGAGAGGAUGAUCAGUCACACUGGAACUGAGACACGGUCCAGACUCCUACGGGAGGCAGCAGUGGGGAAUAUUGGACAAUGGGCGAAAGCCUGACCCAGCCAUGCCGCGUGAGUGAAGAAGGUCUUCGGAUUGUAAAGCUCUUUUAGUUGGGAGGAAGAGCAGUAAGAUAAAACCUGGCUGUUUUGACGGUACCAACAGAAUAAGCACCGGCUAACUACGUG